rnacentral:snRNA from 1 species
UAACUGGCUUGUGGCAGCC